GACGAACGCUGGCGGCGUGCUUAACACAUGCAAGUCGAACGGUAAGGCCCUUCGGGGUACACGAGUGGCGAACGGGUGAGUAACACGUGGGUGAUCUGCCCUGCACUUCGGGAUAAGCCUGGGAAACUGGGUCUAAUACCGGAUAGGACCACUGCCUGCAUGGGUGGUGGUGGAAAGCUUUUGCGGUGUGGGAUGGGCCCGCGGCCUAUUAGCUUGUUGGUGGGGUGAUGGCCUACCAAGGCGACGACGGGUAGCCGGCCUGAGGGUGUGACCGGCCACACUGGGACUGAGAUACGGCCCAGACUCCUACGGGAGGCAGCAGUGGGGAAUAUUGCACAAUGGGCGCAAGCCUGAUGCAGCGACGCCGCGUGAGGGAUGACGGCCUUCGGGUUGUAAACCUCUUUCAGCACCGACGAAGCGCAAGUGACGGUAGGUGCAGAAGAAGGACCGGCCAACUACGUGCCAGCAGCCGCGGUAA
rnacentral:rRNA from 1 species